UCAAGAAACUUCCACAAUGGGCGAAAGCCUGAUGGAGCGACGUCGCGUGAUGGACGAAGUGCUUCGGCACGUAAACAUCUUUUUAUGUGGGAUGAAAUUAUUGACAGUACCACAUGAAUAAGGGGCUCCUAACUCUGUGCCAGCAGGAGCGGUAAUACAGAGGCCCCAAGCGUUAUCCGGAAUCACUGGGCGUAAAGGGUGUCGAGGCGGUUGUAUUAGUCGUUCGUAAAAUCUACGAGCUUAACUUGUAGGCGGCGAACGAAACGGUACGACUUGAGGUUUGGAGAGGUGCGUGGAACUCACGGUGUAGGGGUGAAAUCCGUUGAUAUCGUGGGGAACACCAAAGGCGAAGGCAGCGCACUGGCCAAAAAUCUGACGCUCACACACGAAAGCUAGGGUAGCGAAGAGGAUUAGAUACCCCAGUAGUCCCUGAGCGGGCUGGCAAGGCGCAU
rnacentral:rRNA from 1 species